UACGUAGGGUGCAAGCGUUAAUCGGAAUUACUGGGCGUAAAGCGUGCGCAGGCGGUGAUGUAAGACAGUUGUGAAAUCCCCGGGCUCAACCUGGGAACUGCAUCUGUGACUGCAUCGCUGGAGUGCGGCAGAGGGGGAUGGAAUUCCGCGUGUAGCAGUGAAAUGCGUAGAUAUGCGGAGGAACACCGAUGGCGAAGGCAAUCCCCUGGGCCUGCACUGA
rnacentral:rRNA from 1 species